AUGGAAGCCUCUACCUGGCAGUACUAUGGAUACCUACUGGAUGACACAAGUAAGGCAAACGGCAGAGACUGCACUACUUCCCGGAGAACCUCCAAAGUGACAUGUGAAGAUUAUACUUUGCUAGAUAAGAAUCAACUCAGCCAGGAGGGCCUGGGGCACAGGAUGGAGAGAGGUAACCUUCCCGACCCCGAGUGUGAUCUGCAUGUCUCUACCAAGUUACAGAUGAGCAGAAGUCUGUGUGAGAGAGGGCAGCGGGGGCUGGUGGCAGAGGAACUGUGCUCGGAAGAACAUGCUGUUUCAAAAGCACGCAGGAGAAAUGAGGGGGAAGUCUCUCCAAAGGUCUAUGAAAUACAGGUUGGCCAGCGGCGACCAGGUACCAGCAGGACAGUGAAGCCUGUUGUUUAUAGGCUGGAGGAAAGUGAAUACAGACGCCUGAUCCAGGAGGGAGAAACAGAAUGUGAAGGGAAAUGGGAAAUGACAGAGUACAAGAUACCUUUGAUUCAGAAAAAUCUCAGUCACCAGGAAGGUUACCCAGGGAAUGAGAAGGCAGCAAGUCCAAAUGUAAAUAUGAUCAACACUUUCCAAGGAACCUUGAGGAAGCAGAUAAGCCGUUCAGACUCCGAAAGUAGCGUAGAGAACAGACAAGUUAAUAAACUGACAUUGAACUCUCCCUCAGAGGAAAAUAAACCAAGAGUCCCAAUCAGGUCGGAUAGCUUUGAGCGAAAUGCCAUGCUAAUGGAUUACAUUUUGCAAAGCAAACAGGAGACGGCAACAUCUGUUUCACACGUCCCAAGAGAAAGCAGCAAGGCAGCUGAAAGCUUUAGGCAGACGGUUAACUUCACCCCUCAGACUGACGACUCUCCAGACCUUUGCCAGAAUGGUCAGACCAGUGAAGAGGAUCCAGUCAGGAAGCCAGAGAAAGAUAAGCAGGUUGUGAAGAGCCUUGAGAUAAUGGUCUCUGUGGCUGCAAAUUGUGCUUCAGUGGCUAGAGACACUGAAAAGCUUUCAAGACAGAACAGCAGCCAGCUCCUUGAGAGCUGGGAAAAGCUCGGAGGUGAAGCAGAUGCAGGAAUAUUCGAUUUGUAUAGUCAGAAAAAUACCCCACCAGCCCCUCCAGCCAGGUCCCACAGCAAAGAGAGUCUGGCAUUAAGUAUUAGCAAGACUAUGGCAAUGACAGAGGUGCUGCUGGAACAAUGCAGCGAUGCAGCAAAGCUUGCCAAGAAGCAGACAGCAGCCGCAGCUGAGCGCAGCACGGACCAGCUAACUGGAGGAAGGAUUCCAGGAGGAGGGGGCCCGGAGGAGCAGGAACGGAAGGGGUGGAAGAAUCAGGAGGAUGAGAAAGUGCUUAAAGUUGCCGACGCAAAGAAAACUUUUGAAAAGCAUAAGCCUCCAGAGGGGAAGGCAGCAACACCACCGCCCAGCACAGCCAGAAAAGGUGAGGUGUGA
rnacentral:lncRNA from 1 species